CCCUGGGAAUGGGAGGUGAUGGUUUUUUACUUCGGCCCUAGUACAGAGUAUGCUCUUGAAGCUGGAUUCCAUCAGCAGGCAAGGGCAGUGACUGGAAGCUGGGAGAGAGGGUCAACAGCUGAAUCUCAGCCUGAUGGAGGCCACCAUUUAAUAAGUAAAUACAUGCACGGCUAUUUAGAUCCUGCAUCAGACAGGUCAUCAGAAAACAUGAAGCUAAAUGCAGUAAAGAAUUACUCUCUUGAACUCUUGAAAAUAUCAAAAACAUGAAGCUAAAUGCAGUAAAGAAUUAGUCUCUUGAACUCUUGAAAAUAUCAUUUUCUUAUAGAAAUGGUUUAAAAAUUUCUUUUUUAUUAUUUCUAAUUUUCCUUCAGAAAAUUGUGAGUUUUAACCUACAACACAUACACUCCAAGGUAAUGCCACUCUAAUGCUGUCUAGUUGAUCUGAAUAACUAACUGGUCAAUUAUCAGAUCCACCAAACUGUCUCUCUGGAGAUUAACUUCUGCCAGCAUAUUGGUUUCUGUUCAUUUUCACAAGAUUGACAGGCUCAUUACAGCAAUAUUAACAUCUUCCUUUGAGCACUCACACUGUGCAAUUGUAAUUUUGCAUAUGUUGAUGAGCAGGCAAUUACAUCAAAGAGUGAACACUGGGCUGAUGUGCAAGGCACUAUUUAAUUAUAAAAACAGUAUAGGAUUGAGCCCUGUCACUGAGUCUUCCAUUCCUUCUAUCUCGCCUGUUUCUAAUUUAUUUCUCUAUUUCUUCAUUUCUUCCUUGACUGUCUUCAUUCUUUGCUUUUUAUUUCUUUCUCCUUAAAUGACAGACCUUUUCUUAGAUGCCAUUUCUCUAUGUCUGCGC
ensembl:lncRNA SLC8A1-AS1 SLC8A1 antisense RNA 1